rnacentral:rRNA from 1 species
GGAAUUUUGCGCAAUGGAGGAAACUCUGACGCAGUGACGACGCGUAUAGGAAGAAGGUUUUCGGAUUGUAAACUAUUGUCGAUGAGGCAGAAUAAUGACAGUACUAAUCAAGAAAGCUCCGGCUAACUACGUGCCAGCAGCCGCGGUAAUACGUAGGGAGCAAGCGUUAUCCGGAAUUAUUGGGUGUAAAGGGUGCGUAGACGGGAAAACAAGUCAGCUGUGAAAUCCCUCGGCUUAACUGAGGAACUGCAACUGAAACUAUUUUUCUUGAGUGCAGGAGAGGAAAGUGGAAUUCCUAGUGUAGCGGUGAAAUGCGUAGAUAUUAGGAGGAACACCAGUGGCGAAGGCGACUUUCUGGACUGUAACUGACGUUGAGGCACGAAAGUGUGGGGAGCAAACA